rnacentral:rRNA from 1 species
CAGUCGCCGCGGUAAUACGGAGGGUGCAAGCGUUAAUCGGAAUUACUGGGCGUAAAGCGUGCGUAGGCGGUUCGUUAAGUCUGUUGUGAAAGCCCCGGGCUCAACCUGGGAAUGGCAAUGGAUACUGGCGAGCUAGAGUGUGUCAGAGGAUGGUGGAAUUCCCGGUGUAGCGGUGAAAUGCGUAGAGAUCGGGAGGAACAUCAGUGGCGAAGGCGGCCAUCUGGGACAACACUGACGCUGAGGCACGAAAGCGUGGGGAGCGAACAGGAUUAGAGACCCCCGUAGUCCCUGUCUCUUAUAC